rnacentral:rRNA from 1 species
AUUGAACGCUGGCGGCAUGCUUUACACAUGCAGGUCGGACGGCAGCACAGAGAAGCUUGCUUCUUGGGUGGCGAGUGGCGAACGGGUGAGUAAUAUAUCGGAACGUACCGAGUAAUGGGGGAUAACUAAUCGAAAGAUUAGCUAAUACCGCAUAUUCUCUGAGGAGGAAAGCAGGGGACCUUCGGGCCUUGCGUUAUUCGAGCGGCCGAUAUCUGAUUAGCUAGUUGGUGGGGUAAAGGCCUACCAAGGCGACGAUCAGUAGCGGGUCUGAAAGGAUGAUCCGCCACACUGGGACUGAGACACGGCCCAGACUCCUACGGGAGGCAGCAGUGGGGAAUUUUGGACAAUGGGCGCAAGCCUGAUCCAGCCAUGCCGCGUGUCUGAAGAAGGCCUUCGGGUUGUAAAGGACUUUUGUCAGGGAAGAAAAGGCUGUUGCUAAUACCGACAGCUGAUGACGGUACCUGAAGAAUAAGCACCGGCUAACUACGUG